UAAAUACUCCCUAGUGACCGAUAGUGAACCAGUACCGUGAGGGAAAGGUGAAAAGCACCCCGGAAGGGGAGUGAAACAGUUCCUGAAACCGUGUGCCUACAAGUAGUUAGAGCCCGUUAAUGGGUGAUAGCGUGCCUUUUGUAGAAUGAACCGGCGAGUUACGAUUUGUUGCAAGGUUAAGCGGAAAAAGCGGAGCCGUAGCGAAAGCGAGUCUGAAUAGGGCGCAUAAGUAACAGGUCGUAGACCCGAAACCAGGUGAUCUACCCAUGUCCAGGAUGAAGGUAAGGUAAUACUUACUGGAGGUCCGAACCCACGCACGUUGAAAAGUGCGGGGAUGAGGUGUGGGUAGCGGAGAAAUUCCAAUCGAACUUGGAGAUAGCUGGUUCUCUCCGAAAUAGCUUUAGGGCUAGCCUCGAGGUAAAGAGUCAUGGAGGUAGAGCACUGUUUGGACUAGGGGCCCUUCUCGGGUUACCGAAUUCAGAUAAACUCCGAAUGCCAUGUACUUAUACUCGGGAGUCAGACUGCGAGUGAUAAGAUCCGUAGUCGAAAGGGAAACAGCCCAGACCACCAGUUAAGGUCCCCAAAUAUAUGUUAAGUGGAAAAGGAUGUGGGGUUGCUUAGACAACCAGGAUGUUGGCUUAGAAGCAGCCACCAUUGAAAGAGUGCGUAAUAGCUCACUGGUCGAGUGACCCCGCGCCGAAAAUGUACCGGGGCUAAACAUAUUACCGAAACUGUGGAUGAACCUCUUUAGAGGUUCGUGGUAGGAGAGCGUUCUAAGGGCGGUGAAGUCAGACCGGAAGGACUGGUGGAGCGCUUAGAAGUGAGAAUGCCGGUAUGAGUAGCGAAAGAAGGGUGAGAAUCCCUUCCACCGAAUAUCUAAGGUUUCCUGAGGAAGGCUCGUCCGCUCAGGGUUAGUCGGGACCUAAGCCGAGGCCGAUAGGCGUAGGCGAUGGACAACAGGUAGAGAUUCCUGUACCAGUGCUAAUUGUUUAACCGAUGGGGUGACACAGAAGGAUAGGGAAUCGCACGAAUGGAAAUGUGCGUCCAAGCAGUGAGUGUGAGAAGUAGGCAAAUCCGCUUCUCGCGAAGCAUGAGCUGUGAUGGGGAAGGAAAUUAAGUACGGAAGUUCCUGAUUUCACGCUGUCAAGAAAAGCCUCUAGGAAGAGUAGUACUGCCCGUACCGCAAACCGACACAGGUAGAUGAGGAGAGAAUCCUAAGGUGAGCGAGAGAACUCUCGUUAAGGAACUCGGCAAAAUGACCCCGUAACUUCGGGAGAAGGGGUGCUCUAUUAGGGUGCAAGCCCGAGAGAGCCGCAGUGAAUAGGCCCAGGCGACUGUUUAGCAAAAACACAGGUCUCUGCAAAACCGUAAGGUGACGUAUAGGGGCUGACGCCUGCCCGGUGCUGGAAGGUUAAGAGGAGUGCUUAGCUUCGGCGAAGGUACGAAUUGAAGCCCCAGUAAACGGCGGCCGUAACUAUAACGGUCCUAAGGUAGCGAAAUUCCUUGUCGGGUAAGUUCCGACCCGCACGAAAGGCGCAACGAUCUGGGCACUGUCUCAACGAGAGACUCGGUGAAAUUAUAGUACCUGUGAAGAUGCAGGUUACCCGCGACAGGACGGAAAGACCCCGUGGAGCUUUACUGCAACCUGAUAUGGAAUGUUUGUACCGCUUGUACAGGAUAGGUAGGAGCCGAAGAGACGUGUGCGCUAGCAUACGAGGAGGCAAUGGUGGGAUACUACCCUGGCUGUAUGACCAUUCUAACCCGCCACGCUUAGCGCGUGGGGAGACAGUGUCAGGUGGGCAGUUUGACUGGGGCGGUCGCCUCCUAAAGAGUAACGGAGGCGCCCAAAGGUUCCCUCAGAAUGGAUGGAAAUCAUUCGCAGAGUGUAAAGGCACAAGGGAGCUUGACUGCGAGACUGACAAGUCGAGCAGGGACGAAAGUCGGGCUUAGUGAUCCGGUGGUUCCGCAUGGAAGGGCCAUCGCUCAACGGAUAAAAGCUACCCCGGGGAUAACAGGCUUAUCUCCCCCAAGAGUCCACAUCGACGGGGAGGUUUGGCACCUCGAUGUCGGCUCGUCGCAUCCUGGGGCUGUAGUCGGUCCCAAGGGUUGGGCUGUUCGCCCAUUAAAGCGGCACGCGAGCUGGGUUCAGAACGUCGUGAGACAGUUCGGUCCCUAUCCGUCGCGGGCGCAGGAAAUUUGAGAGGAGCUGUCCUUAGUACGAGAGGACCGGGAUGGACACACCGCUGGUGUACCAGUUGUUCCGCCAGGAGCAUCGCUGGGUAGCUAUGUGUGGCAGGGAUAAACGCUGAAAGCAUCUAAGCGUGAAGCCCCCCUCAAGAUGAGAUUUCCCAUUUCUUCGGAAAGUAAGAUCCCUGAAAGAUGAUCAGGUAGAUAGGUUUGGAGUGGAAGUGUAGCGAUACAUGGAGCGGACAAAUACUAAUCGAUCGAGGACUUAACCAAAA
rnacentral:rRNA from 1 species